rnacentral:rRNA from 1 species
GUGCCCUCCGGUCUGGGAUAACCCUGGGAAACUAGGGCUAAUACCGGAUACGUGCUUUGGCAGAAAGGUUUACUGCCGGAGGAUCGGCCCGCGUCUGAUUAGCUUGUUGGUGGGGUAACGGCCUACCAAGGCGACGAUCAGUAGCUGGUCUGAGAGGAUGAUCAGCCACACUGGGACUGAGACACGGCCCAGACUCCUACGGGAGGCAGCAGUGGGGAAUAUUGGACAAUGGGCGCAAGCCUGAUCCAGCCAUGCCGCGUGAGUGAUGACGGCCUUAGGGUUGUAAAGCUCUUUUCUCCGGGACGAUAAUGACGGUACCGGAGGAAUAAGCCCCGGCUAACUUCGUGCCAGCAGCCGCGGUAAUACGAAGGGGGCUAGCGUUGCUCGGAAUCACUGGGCGUAAAGGGCGCGUAGGCGGCGUUUUAAGUCGGGGGUGAAAGCCUGUGGCUCAACCACAGAAUGGCCUUCGAUACUGGGACGCUUGAGUAUG